rnacentral:rRNA from 1 species
UGGGGAAUCUUGCACAAUGGGGGAAACCCUGAUGCAGCGACGCCGCGUGAGCGAUGAAGCCCUUCGGGGUGUAAAGCUCUUUCGGCAGGGAAGAUGAUGACGGUACCUGCAGAAGCAGCUGCGGCUAACUACGUGCCAGCAGCCGCGGUAAAACGUAGGAGACAAGCGUUAUCCGGAGUUACUGGGCGUAAAGGGCGUGCAGGUGGCGUCUUAAGUCUGUUGUGAAAGCGCCUGGCUUAACCGGGCGAGGCCAAUGGAGACUGAGAGGCUGGAGGACGGCGGAGGGGUGUGGAAUUCCGGGUGUAGUGGUGAAAUGCGUAGAGAUCCGGAGGAACACCAGAGGCGAAGGCGGCACUCUAAGCCGUACCUGACACUGAGACGCGACAGCACGGGGAGCAAACG